GCGCACGUGGCGGAAUUGGUAGACGCGCUAGAUUCAGGAUCUAGUGAGAGCAAUCUCGUGGAGGUUCGAGUCCUCUCGUGCGCACCA
rnacentral:tRNA from 1 species